rnacentral:tRNA from 1 species
UUCCAGGUGGCUCAGUGGUUGAGCGUCUGCCUUCAGCGCAGAUCAUGAUCCCGGGGUCCUGGGAU